rnacentral:rRNA from 1 species
ACCUGCAUUAUUUGACGUUACCUACAGAAGAAGCACCGGCUAACUCCGUGCCAGCAGCCGCGGUAAUACGGAGGGUGCGAGCGUUAAUCGGAAUUACUGGGCGUAAAGCGCAUGCAGGCGGCCUGUUAAGUCAGAUGUGAAAGACCCGGGGCGUUAACCUCGGAAUUGCAUUUGUAAACUGGCAGGCUAGAGUCUUGUAGAGGGGGGUAGGAAGUUUCUAGGUGUAGCGGUGAAAUAGCGUAGAGAUCUGAAGGAAUACCAGUGGCGAAGGCGGCCCCCUCGGACAAAGACUGACGCUCAGAUGCGAAAGCGUGGGGAGCAAACAGGAUUAGAUACCCCUGGUAG